CAUUUGUCGUCUGGUUCAAUGUGGAUUACUGGCUGAACUUAAGCAUAUCAAUAAGCCAAGGAAAAGAAAUCAACAGAGAUUCCUCUAGUAGCGGCGAGCGAAAAGGGAAAUGUCUGACAGUAAUCGUCUGAGUUGUCUGUCUUCAUAUUGCUAGAGUUCGUAACAGUCCGGAAUGGCUGACCAAAGAGGGUGAAAGUCCCUGUAGAACGUUGCACUUUAUGAUGGAUUAAGUAGUACUGUUUGAGAGUAUAGUAUGAAUCAGGAGGUACAAUCCUUCUAAGACUAAAUAGCGAUCCAAGACCGAUAGUGUACCGAGUAGCGUGAGCGAAUUGUGAAAAGCAGACUCUUAAAGGGUCAUUUAAAAGGACGUGAAACCCUUUCUUAAAGGGGAUGUCUGUAAUUAAUAUUUGCAGGCUUCUCGCCCGUCUCGAAACACGGACCUAGGACUUAUUUUGACCGGCGAGUAUUAUAGUGUUAAACUAUCCUGCGCAAUGAAAGUCAUAAUUAAAUUGCCAUAAUUCUUUUAGGCUAAGCCGGCCGAAGUAGACCCGAAAGAUAGUGAUCUAUACCUGACCAGAAUGAAGUCAGUCGAAAGACUGAUGGAGGUUCGUAACGUUGCUGACGUGCAAAUCGCUUGUCAGAGUUGGGUAUAGGGGCGAAAGACUCAUCGAACCAUCUAGUAGCUGGUUACCUCCGAAAUUUCUCUCAGGAUAGCGGUUAACAAUGUAGUUUCUAGUAGUAGAGACAAUGAUUGGAGAUAGUGGGGAUCAGUCCUCAUCCGACUCUCAAACUCCGAAUACAGAGCGUUAUUCUUUCUUAAUUGAAGGGUAAUUUUAAAUACAAGUGUUAACUAGUGGGCCCCUCUUGGUAAGCAGGAUUGGCAAGGCGGAUUGCUCCGAUAGUGCAGUUAAAGUGCGUAAACCAGGUUCAUCAGACUAAACGGCGUUAGGUAAUAUUGACAGCUGGAAGAUGGCCAUAGAAGUUGGAAUUCUCUAAGGAGUGUGUAACAACCCACCAGCCGAAUUACCUAGUCCGAAAAAUGGAUCGCGCUUAAACCUGGUAUUUAUACUGCACCACAAAAAUGGGUAGGAGGUCGUGAAGUUACCUUAGAAGUAUGAUCGUGAGGUCGUAUAGAGGUUACUUUAGUGCAGAUCUAGGUAGUAGUAGCAAUUAUUCUGGUAUGCCAGAAGACUGAAGAAGAGAAGGCUUCCACGGCGCCGUUAUACGACUCGUGGGUGAUACGUUCCUAAGCGACUGUUGAAAAAUAGAAGGCAUGUGGCUAGUCCCAUUCUCUGGUCGAAAGGGAAACGGGUUAAUAUUCCCGUUAG
rnacentral:rRNA from 1 species